rnacentral:lncRNA from 1 species
UCUGGCUCUACUGAUAGGAGGGACAGAGAAGGGAUGGAACUGUUUGAGGAGGGAGGAGCUGUCCAUCAAGUCAGGCCUGGCCCUUUUCUGGAGGAACCAUCUGUGGCCUCCUCCAGCAGGGAUGGACCUGCUGGGUUGGGAAAUGGAAGGGGCCAGCACUCCAGGGGACAGGGACGGCGCUGCCAGUAUUCUGCACCAGAGGGUCCCACUUGUCCUGAAAGAAGCCUCCUCCUGGAAGCCUCCCCUGACCACUUUGCAAUCUUAUCAGAGAAUUCCUGGGGCCUGAGCAGUUGCAGCUCAGCCUCGGUGAGCCGGGUACCCUGUUCCCGCAUGUGGUAAGGGCCAACCAUCUAUGCAUCAUUGAGGUAUUUCUAGAGAGACCCUCCCAAGGGUCCUGGGAGGAAAGGAUGAUACGUUUACAGCCUUGACCCUAAGGUUCAGGGAAUAUGGAAUAUCUCGC